rnacentral:rRNA from 1 species
UACGUAGGCAGCGAGCGUUGUUCGGAGUUACUGGGCGUAAAGGGUGUGUAGGCGGUUGUUUAAGUUUGGUGUGAAAUCUCCCGGCUCAACUGGGAGGGUGCGCCGAAUACUGAAUGACUUGGAGUGCGGGAGAGGAGAGUGGAAUUCCUGGUGUAGCGGCGAAUGCGUAGAUAUCAGGAGGAACACCGGUGGUGUAGACGGCUCUCUGGACCGUAACUGACGCUGAGACACGAAAGCGUGGGUAGCAAACAGG